rnacentral:rRNA from 1 species
UACGUAGGGUGCGAGCGUUAAUCGGAAUUACUGGGCGUAAAGAGUGCGUAGGCGGUUCGUUAAGUCAGCUGUGAAAGCCCCGGGCUCAACCUGGGAACUGCGGUUGAAACUGGCGAACUAGAAUCUGGCAGAGGGGGGUGGAAUUCCACGUGCAGCAGUGAAAUGCGUAGAGAUGUGGAGGAACACCGAUGGCGAAGGCAGCCCCCUGGGCUGAGAUUGACGCUCAGGCACGAAAGCGUGGGGAGCAAACAGG